GUGCCAGACUCCUACGGGAGGCAGCAGUGGGGAAUAUUGCACAAUGGGGGGAACCCUGAUGCAGCGACGCCGCGUGGGUGAAGGAGCACCUCGGUGCGUAAAGCCCUAUCGGCAGGGAAGAAACAGACGGUACCUGACUAAGAAGCCCCGGCUAACUACGUGCCAGCAGCCGCGGUAAUACGUAGGGGGCGAGCGUUAUCCGGAUUCACUGGGUGUAAAGGGAGCGUAGACGGCCAUGCAAGCCAGGGGUGAAAGCCCGGGGCCCAACCCCGGGACUGCCCUUGGAACUGCAUGGCUGGAGUGCGGGAGGGGCAGGCGGAAUUCCUAGUGUAGCGGUGAAAUGCGUAGAUAUUAGGAGGAACACCGGCGGCGAAGGCGGCCUGCUGGACCGUAACUGACGUUGAGGCUCGAAAGCGUGGGGAGCAAACAGGAUUAGAUACCCCCGUACU
rnacentral:rRNA from 1 species